GAGCACCCCUGGGGCCUAGCAGGGGGCUGGGAGUCAGGGCAGGAGCCAGAAGCCACGGCCAGAGCUGAUGGAAACCAGGGAAGAAUGGGCAAAAUGGCAGGGAAAACCAACACCACCCCGCAUCACCCACACCAGAUUCUUCUCAUCACCAAUCAAAGUAUAGUGGCUGAAGAAUGGAUCCUUA
rnacentral:lncRNA from 12 species